rnacentral:lncRNA from 1 species
GCAGAAGCUCCUCUGCAUGCAGAGGACACUCCGGAAUUGCAAUAGGCUCCCCACAUCACAGUCACUCCUCUCUCCUAGAAGAACAGUUGGAUAAAUCAUCACAGAGGUCUCCAGGGUUAAAUUCCAACCUCUCAGAGCAGAUCAGUUGGUUACCAAAAGACUUCAGCGGGCCCCGGAUAGCACUGCAACAUGACCAGCUGCUGCCAAAGGAUGCCUCUGCAGUAUUUUACUCAGAGAGUUCUUCCCUGUGGAUCCCCUCAGCAGCUUUGCCAGAACUGAACCUAAGCUCAGCUGCUAAGGCAGCAAAUUGCACAGAGAAAAUCAGUUACAAGCCAGGAAGAGAUGACCUUGGAAGUCCAUAAAUCAAUGUGACAGGACACAUAAGGCAACACAAAGAAAGAUUCAGGAAGAUUUUCUAUGAAUGCUGAAAAGUCUCACCUUUGAAAGCAAGUUGCCAUUAUGCUCCUAACUUUGUAAAAUCUACUUUGAGUGAGUAUUUAACAAGCUUUUGGAACAAGUACGUUUCAUACACUUACUUCGAAUAAAGUCUCUG